rnacentral:RNase_P_RNA from 1 species
UGUUGUGGUUGGGCAGUUGCGGAAUUUAUAGUUUCGAGGAAAGUCCGGACUCUAAAUAGAAAUAGUGCUGGGUAAUUCCCAGUGGGUUAGUUCCUAAGGAAAGUGCAGCAGAAAACAGACCGCCUAUUUUUUAUACAAAAUUUAGGUAAGGGUGAAAAGGUGAGGUAAGAGCUUACCGGAUUUGUGGUGACAUGAAUCGCAUUGUAAACCCCAUUAUGAGCAAGACCAAAUGAGCAUUAAAGAAUCUUUAUUCUUCUAAUUUUCUAUUAUUAGCUUAAUGCUAGGUAGGUCGCUAGAGAUAAAUAGCAAUAUUUAUUCCAGAGAAAUAACUGCAUAGGUUUUUACCUAACAGAAUCCGGCUUAUAGACCACAACUGCAA